rnacentral:rRNA from 1 species
AACGAACGCUGGCGGCGCGUCUUAAGCAUGCAAGUCGAACGGUAAGGGAGAGCUUGCUCUCCCCUAGAGUGGCGGACUGGUGAGUAACGCGUGGGUGACCUGCCCUGAAGAUGGGGAUAGCUAGUAGAAAUAUUAGAUAAUACCGAAUGUGCUCAUUUACAUAAAGGUAAAUGAGGAAAGGAGCUACGGCUCCGCUUCAGGAUGGGCCCGCGUCCCAUUAGCUGGUUGGUGAGGUAAAGGCCCACCAAGGCAACGAUGGGUAUCCGGCCUGAGAGGGUGAACGGACACAUUGGGACUGAGAUACGGCCCAAACUCCUACGGGAGGCAGCAGCUAAGAAUCUUCCGCAAUGGACGAAAGUCUGACGGAGCGACGCCGUGUGAAUGAAGAAGGCCGAAAGGUUGUAAAAUUCUUUUGCAGAUGAAGAAUAAGAAGAAGAGGGAAUGCUUCUUUGAUGACGGUAGUCAUGCGAAUAAGCCCGCUA